UAGCAGUUGUCAAGCUUUUUAUAUGCUGGGAACAGCGAACUGUGGCCACUGGCAGCUGUGAGGGGCUGUGCCUGAGGAAGAUCAAGGUUGACUUUUAUGUUUCAGUUUCAGCAUAAAUGGAUCAGCUGUUUUCAAGAAUGAGGUUAGAGAAAAUUAAUUGCACAGGAUAGACAGUGAAUGAGGCAGAAGUUUCUACAGUCAAGGUUGUUCUCUUAUGGUUAUGACACUGAACUGGAAGCCAGGUG